GCUUCGACCAGUCAAACUGCAAGCCAAGGGUGCUCCACCGUAACUUACGAAGCAAAACAGAGGCUAACACUGAUUUGCAUGUAACUCCUUUGGAUAAUGCACCUGAUUGAUCAAAAAAGUUCCAUGUGGGAACAUUUAUGUCGUUUUCAAUGAUUUCCACCUCAGAAUUAUUGGUUCCACAGUACUGCUCCUCUUGAAUUAAAACUUUAUUAUCCUUGGCAGCAGCAAAUAAGUCCUGUAGAGGCCCAUAAA
rnacentral:misc_RNA from 1 species